AGUGAAGAUCUUCCCUCAGAGCCUGGCGAGGGGGCGGGGCCCAGCCAGGAGAGCUGGAGAGGCAGUGAGGGUCUUCCCUCAGAGCCUGGCGAGGGGGCGCGGCCCAGCCAGGAGGGCUGGAGAGGCAGCCAGGACCUUCCCUCAGAGCCUGGCGAGGGAGCGCGGCCCAGCCAGGAGAGCUGGAGAGGCCCGGAGGAUCUUCCUUCAGAGCCUAGCGAGGGGGCGCGACCCAGCCAGGAGAGCUGGAGAGGCAGCGAGGAUCUUCCGUUAGAGCCUGGCGAGGGGGCGGGGCCCAGCCAGGACAGCUGGAGAGGCAGCGAAGAUCUUCCCUCAGAGCCUAGCUAGGGGGCGCGGCCCAGCCAGGAGAGCUGGAGAGGCAGCGAGGAUCUUCCCUCAGAGCCUAGCGAGGGGACGUGGCCCAGCCAGGAGGGCUGGAGAGGCCCGGAGGAUCUUCCCUCAGAGCCUAGCGAGGGGGCGCGACCCAGCCAGUAGAGCUGGAGAGGCCCGGAGGAUCUUCCUUCAGAGCCUAGCGAGGGGGCGCGGCCCAGCCAGGAGAGCUGGAGAGGCCCGGAGGAUCUUCCUUCAGAGCCUAGCGAGGGGGCGCGACCCAGCCAGGAGAGCUGGAGAGGCAGCGAGGAUCUUGGGUUAGAGCCUAGCGAGGGGGCGUGGCCCAGCCAGGAGGGCGGGCGAGGCAGUGAAGAUCUUCCCUCAGAGCCUGGCGAGGGAGCGCGGCCCAACCAGGAGAGCUGGAGAGGCAGCCAGGAUCUUCCCUUAGAGCCCGGCGAGCGGGCGGGGCCCUGCCUACACCCCGACUUCAUCCCAGUGAAGGACGUCGGACUUCUGGCCUCCAGAGCUGUGAGAAAAUACAUUUGAGAUGUUUAAGCCGCCCAAUGUCUGGUCAUUUGUUACAAAAGAUAUGGAAAAUCAACGCACCAGUAACUGGAGAAAAUUGAUCACGACUGAAAGGCAGUGGGCAAAACGUACUGUUGUAGGUCAGCCCAGACCAGAAACUGGUGUUGAAAGGCUCAGGGUGCUCGCCCACAUCAGUGAGGGAGGUGCAGCUGAUGAAGGAAGUGCUGGGUGCAGAAGGGGAUGCUCUGAAAAGGUGGCUUCUGUUUGCAGUUUCAAAGCUCAGAUAUUUCCUGGGAAUAGAAAUUCAUCUCCUGGAAGUAAACGCAAUAGUAAAAUCCAAAUAAGGAGCUGUGGUAUUUGGUGUGACUUAAGAAGUUUUUAAAAUCUGGACUUUGCUCUUGUUAGCUCUGUGCACCUGAGAGACUUUGAACAUGCAUUUUUAAACUGCAGCUUCUCUCUAUAUAAAUGGGCUAUAUGGGAAUUGAACAAUGAGAUCACAUGGACACAGGAAGGGGAAUAUCACACUCUGGGGACUGUGGUGGGGUGGGGGGAGGGGGGAGGGAUAGCAUUGGGAGAUAUACCUAAUGCUAGAUGACGAGUUAGUGGGUGCAGUGCACCAGCAUGGCACAUGUAUACAUAUGUAACUAACCUGCACAAUGUGCACAUGUACCCUAAAACUUAAAGUAUAAUAAAAAAAAAAAUCAAAGGUUAG